GAUGAACGCUGGCGGCGUGCUUAACACAUGCAAGUCGAACGAAGCAUUUAAGAACGAUUUCUUCGGAAGGAGUUCUUCUAUGACUGAGUGGCGGACGGGUGAGUAACGCGUGGGCAACCUGCCUCACACAGGGGGAUAACAGUUAGAAAUGACUGCUAAUACCGCAUAAGACCGCAGUACCGCAUGGUACAGUGGUAAAAACUCCGGUGGUGUGAGAUGGGCCCGCGUCUGAUUAGGUAGUUGGUGAGGUAAUGGCUCACCAAGCCGACGAUCAGUAGCCGACCUGAGAGGGUGACCGGCCACAUUGGGACUGAGACACGGCCCAAACUCCUACGGGAGGCAGCAGUGGGGAAUAUUGCACAAUGGGGGAAACCCUGAUGCAGCGACGCCGCGUGAAGGAUGAAGUAUUUCGGUAUGUAAACUUCUAUCAGCAGGGAAGAAAAUGACGGUACCUGACUAAGAAGCCCCGGCUAACUACGUGCCAGCCGCCGCCGUAACAC
rnacentral:rRNA from 1 species